GCGGAUUUAGCUCAGUUGGGAGAGCGCCAGACUGAAUAUCUGGAGGUCCUGUGUUCGAUCCACAGAAUUCGCACCA
rnacentral:tRNA from 1 species